rnacentral:lncRNA from 1 species
CACCAACCAUAAGAGCUCUUAUCUCUUUGUGCGUCCAACCUUCUACACCACUGAAAAGGAGAGAAAGAGGAGCUGGUUGGGCGUGAGGCUUUAAGUGGGGCUACUCCUUGUUGGUGUGUAAUAGGUCCUAGGGUACUAGGCAUUGGGUUUUUGGAAGAGAGAAAGGGUUCUCGAGAGUCUUCCAUCUCCACCUCUUCUUUCUCUAGUCCUUCUUCUCAUUUAGGAGAGUCCAUU